rnacentral:rRNA from 1 species
AACGAACGCUGGCGGCGUUGCCUAACACAUCGCAAGUUCGAACGGGAAUUUUGAGAAGCUUCGCUUCUUAAAUUUUAGUUGGCGCACGGGUGAGUAACGCGUAGAUAAUCUGCCUGAUGAUCUGGGAUAACACUUCGAAAGAGGUGCUAAUACCGGAUAAGCCCACGGAGUCUUUGGAUUCUGCGGGAAAAGGGGGGGACCUUCGGGCCUUCUGUCAUCAGAUGAGUCUGCGUACCAUUAGCUAGUUGGUAGGGUAAUGGCCUACCAAGGCUACGAUGGUUAGCUGGUCUGAGAGGAUGAUCAGCCACACUGGAACUGAGACACGGUCCAGACUCCUACGGGAGGCAGCAGUGGGGGAAUUUUGCGCAAUGGGCGAAAGCCUGACGCAGCAACGCCGCGUGAGUGAUGAAGCUUUCGGGUCGUAAAGCUCUGUCGAGGGGAAAGAAAUGUAUUGUGGCUAAUACCCGCGAUACUUGACGGUACCCUAAAGGAAGCACCGGCUAACUCCGUGCCAGCAGCCGCGGUAAUACGGGGGUGCAAGCGUUGUUCGGAAUUAUUGGGCGUAAAGCGCGUGUAGGCGGUCUGAUUAGUCUGAUGUGAAAGCCCUGGGCUCAACCCAGGAAGUGCAUUGGAUACUGUCAGACUUGAAUACGGGAGAGGGUAGUGGAAUUCCUAGUGUAGGAGUGAAAUCCGUAGAUAUUAGGAGGAACACCGGUGGCGAAGGCGGCUACCUGGACCGAUAUUGACGCUGAGACGCGAAAGCGUGGGUAGCAGACAGGAUUAGAUACCCUGGUAGUCCCACGCCGUAAACGAUGAGUACUAGGUGUUGCGGGUAUUGACCCCUGCAGUGCCGCAGCUAACGCAUUAAGUACUCCGCCUGGGAAGUACGGUCGCAAGACUAAA